GUUAGCUGGUGGUUCUUGUUCGCGAUUGGGGCUGAGAACAGAGCGCUGGAAAGACUGUUCAUCUUCGCUAUCAGGUUUUCCCGAAAAAGAGACUGAGUUUUCAUCUUCAUAAGAAUAAGAAGAGCUUCGUGAAGGAUCCUCCUUCUCCUCUUUGUGCAAGGGAACUUCCUCUAUGAUGAGUUUGAGGUUUAUGCUUUGAGGAUUCACAACUCUUCCUAUGUCAGCCAAGAUAGUGUUGAUGAAGCUCUCACUCCUAACAAAGCAAGGAAUGCCAAAGAUUGAGAUCCAUGCCACACUUGCACACUCCGCAUCCGAUUCUCUCCAAUCUCUAAUCUCUUUGAACCACAGAUUCUUCCAUUCUCCUUCAUCAGCUAACAGGGUCUCCAAGUCUCCUUCAACAUUCUCCUCCAAAAGACAUAGAUUAGGGCCCAAAGCAGUUGUUGUGAUAGAGAAGAUGCCCUCUUCAAGGAGGCUUUGAGCAACGCAAAAAGCAAGUCCAGGGCUUCGGGUAAUACCAACUUUAGCUUUGUUGUAUCUUAAAUUUUUAGAAUCUGAUGAGGUGUAGUAAAAGGAUUUACAGACUUCCUUGUUAUCUAUAGAAUCCUUAACAGUAGCCCCUUUGAUUACAUCCGCAAAAUCUUGAUGGCCCUGAACCUCCCGUCUUGUUGGUUGUGAAAUUCUUGAGGUUCUUCUCAUCCUUCACAUUGAUGAAUCUGACAAAUCCAAAUCUGCUACCUCUCCAGUCUCUCUUUGGAGGUAUUACAAUCUCCUCCACCAAACCUAAAUCCUUGAAUUCCAUGAACAGGUGUUUAGCAUUCCAUUUCUCCCCGAAAUCAGUUAUGAAAAUGGUUGUCACCCUGCUUCUAUCCACACCAUUUUCUUUCUUCAAAAUGUCCCAUUUGGCU